GGCAGUCCCACAAACUGGAAGGCAGAAGCCAGAGGAAAUAUACAAGAUGAAACAAGAGCCGAGGUGUCCUGCUUAUGAAUAAAGAUGGAGAAUUGUUCUGGUAUAUAUUGGUGUGCAAGAAACACACAGGGUUCUUCUUUGAGGAAGCAAGUUGACAGAAUACUUGAUCAUGAGAGGAAAGGUGACCCCACUGCAGGCGAGGCUGUAACCAUGGUAGCCGUUGCAGAAGAAGAAAAUAAAACACGUUUUGCUGUUACUGUAGGAGGCAGAAAUGGACUCUGUAAUGAAUGUUUCAAGCCCAGGAUUGUAGAC